UACGUAGGGGGCAAGCGUUAUCCGGAUUUACUGGGUGUAAAGGGAGUGUAGGUGGCCAGGCAAGUCAGAAGUGAAAGCCCGGGGCUCAACCCCGGGACUGCUUUUGAAACUGCAGGGCUAGAGUGCAGGAGGGGCAAGUGGAAUUCCUAGUGUAGCGGUGAAAUGCGUAGAUAUUAGGAAGAACACCAGUGGCGAAGGCGACUUUCUGGACGAAAACUGACGCUGAGGCGCGAAAGCCAGGGGAGCGAACGGG
rnacentral:rRNA from 1 species